UACAGGGGGUGCAAACGUUGCUCGGAAUCAUUGGGCGUAAAGCGCACGUAGGCGGUUCGUUAUGUCGGAUGUGAAGGCCCUUGGCUUAACCGAGGAAGUGCAUCCGAAACUGGCGAGCUAGAGUACUAAAGAGGAUCGCGGAAUUCCCGGUGUAGAGGUGAAAUUCGUAGAUAUCGGGAGGAACACCGGUGGCGAAGGCGGCGAUCUGGGUAGAUACUGACGCUGAGGUGCGAAAGCGUGGGGAGCAAACAGG
rnacentral:rRNA from 1 species